rnacentral:lncRNA from 1 species
CUUGUGUGUCGGGUUCUCUCCUGAGUUAGUUGUUGCAGAUUUAUCAUAGCAGGUUGAUCAACUAGUUCUUGAGGAUUUGGUGCUAGAACAUAUAGUAUGAUAGAUUUUCGUUUUAGCUAUAACAUAGUUGGUACUUUCAAUUUUGAAUCGAAAUAUGCAAUGAUGAUGUAUACUUGAUACUUGGUUCAUUUAGAUGAUAAUGUAUGAAUUUUUUGGAUGA